UGGGGAAUCUUGGACAAUGGGGGCAACCCUGAUCCAGCCAUGCCGCGUGAGUGAUGAAGGCCUUAGGGUCGUAAAGCUCUUUCGCCUGUGAAGAUAAUGACGGUAGCAGGUAAAGAAACCCCGGCUAACUCCGUGCCAGCAGCCGCGGUAAUACGGAGGGGGUUAGCGUUGUUCGGAAUUACUGGGCGUAAAGCGCACGUAGGCGGACCAGAAAGUUGGGGGUGAAAUCCCGGGGGCUCAACCCCGGAACUGCCUCCAAAACUAUUGGUCUAGAGUUCGAGAGAGGUGAGUGGAAUUCCAAGUGUAGAGGUGAAAUUCGUAGAUAUUUGGAGGAACACCAGUGGCGAAGGCGGCUCACUGGCUCGAUACUGACGCUGAGGUGCGAAAGUGUGGGGAGCAAACAGGGAUUAGAUACCCUGGGUAGUCCACACCGUAAAACGAUGAAUGCCAGUCGUCGGGUAGCAUGCUAUUCGGUGACACACCUAACGGAUUAAGCAUUCCGCCU
rnacentral:rRNA from 1 species